rnacentral:rRNA from 1 species
AGUGAACGCUGGCGGUAGGCCUAACACAUGCAAGUCGAACGGCAGCACAGUAAGAGCUUGCUCUUACGGGUGGCGAGUGGCGGACGGGUGAGGAAUAAAUCGGAAUCUACUUUUUCGUGGGGGAUAACGUAGGGAAACUUACGCUAAUACCGCAUACGACCUACGGGUGAAAGCAGGGGAUCUUCGGACCUUGCGCGAUUGAAUGAGCCGAUGUCGGAUUGGCUAGUUGGCGGGGUAAAGGCCCACCAAGGCGACGAUCCGUAGCCGGUCUGAGAGGAUGAUCAGCCACACUGGAACUGAGACACGGUCCAGACUCCUACGGGAGGCAGCAGUGGGGAAUAUUGGACAAUGGGCGCAAGCCUGAUCCAGCCAUACCGCGUGGGUGAAGAAGGCCUUCGGGUUGUAAAGCCCUUUUGUUGGGAAAGAAAAGCAGCAGGUUAAUACCCCGCUGUUCUGACGGUACCCAAAGAAUAAGCACCGGCUAACUUCGUG